UGGGUUUGACAUGCUGGGAAAAGCCACAGAGAUGUGGUGUCCUUCGGGGCCCAGCGCAGGUGGUGCAUGGCUGUCGUCAGCUCGUGUCGUGAGAUGUUGGGUUAAGUCCCGCAACGAGCGCAACCCUCGUCCUGUGUUGCCAGCGGGUAAAGCCGGGGACUCGCAGGAGACUGCCGGGGUCAACUCGGAGGAAGGUGGGGAUGACGUAGCACGCAAUAACA
rnacentral:misc_RNA from 1 species